UACGUAGGGGGCAAGCGUUGUCCGGAAUCAUUGGGCGUAAAGAGCGCGUAGGCGGCCCAGUAAGUCCGCUCUGAAAGUCAGAGGCUCAACCUCUGAAUGCGGGUGGAUACUGCUGGGCUAGAGUCCGGAAGAGGCGAGUGGAAUUCCUGGUGUAGCGGUGAAAUGCGCAGAUAUCAGGAGGAACACCGAUGGCGAAGGCGGGUCUCUGGGCCGAAACUGACGCUGAGGAGCGAAGGCGUGGGGAGCAAACAGG
rnacentral:rRNA from 1 species